rnacentral:rRNA from 1 species
GCUCCAAUAGCGUAUAUUAAAGUUGCUGCAGUUAAAAAGCUCGUAGUUGCAUUUCCGAGGCAAGGGAUUAGUCCGACCUUUGGUGGGUAUUUAAUCCUCUUGCCUCGUCCUUGAGUGGUGCUUCUUGGUAUUAAGUUAUCGAGGAGAUAGCCGCUCAUCGUUUACUGUGAGAAAAUUAGAGUGUUCAAAGCAGGCUUAUG